ACAUGUUCAAACUUGCACUCGUUUUCAUAACUUUUGUCCUGUGCAAUAAGCCACUUUCCUUCCAAAGAGCACAAACUUUAAAAUCAUAAACAUACAUGAGUGUAUAUCUCGAUCAAUUUUUAGUUUUCCUUUUAUGAAGAGCGCAUUGUGUCUGAACUAAACCAAUAAUCAGCAAAUCUACUCCAGAAACAUAAUAAUGCUAAAAGAGAUUGGCGAGAAG
rnacentral:lncRNA from 1 species